rnacentral:lncRNA from 1 species
GGGGGGGGGGACGGUGGCUAGAGAAGGUGGGCCUGAAGCUCAGGCUUAAGCUCUGUGGGCCCAGGGAAAUUCGAAACUGGCCCCUGAGGGCAAGGAGAGGCCGAAGGAAGAGGAAGUUCACUCCACAGGGGUAGGGGGCAAUUUUAAAAAGCAAGGGAAUUUAGGAGGGUUGGUCUGGGCGGCCACCAGACGACUACACCUGGCCCCUGCCUGCCAGAAUCUUCGGCCUCAAGGGGGUCGAGUCACGCCUGCGCUCCACGUGGUGUCAGCAACAUUACGGUGUCUAGGCUGCAUCCUCGAAAGGGCCCGUAGUGCAGGUAGAGUGGGCCGAGGGCACACCCAGGACGGGUGGGGGGUCGGGGGUGAGCCGCCUGCCCUUGCCCGGCCAGCUGUCGUCCGCCGGCUGUCUUCGCCCUCUCAGUGACUUCGAACAGCAAGCUGGGACCAGAGGGUAAGCUCUCUGCGGGGCUGAGAAGAGGUGUGUGGCGGACCCUGAAGAUUGCACUCCGUAUCCCUCUAUUCCCGUUUGCUUUUUUACUCUGGCUGGAGGCAUCUACCCAGUGUUUAACGCCUGGGGUCGCCGGAAGCCGCCGCGUAGCAUCUCCCGGGAGGAGAACAGAAGAAAAAGAUGAGAAGCUGAUCCCACAGUAUUGUUUGAGCUCUUGAAUCCUGCUGUACCCGAACCCGAGUUUUACCCCCGGACUCUUAAAAGAUAAGUGAAACAACGAAUUCACUGUUCGCUGAUUGCUGUUGCAGUGGGAAGAGACGUGGCGAAUACCACCUCCACAACGAGCAGGCAAGAGCCAGAUGCCAGCUAUAUUUAAACAUUUGAGACAGUUCGAAGCUUAAAAGGAAUAGAAAAUCCCAGGACUGAAGACUCUGAGCACACCUCGUGGACAAUCACUCUGAACCAAGGGAGAGUGUGGACUGCCACGCGGCAGUCGGCAACAUGAAUCCGGAGGCAGCCCUGGGCCAGGUGGGGAAGGAGGGGCAUGUACUUGACUGACAGCCAGGAAUGGCAGUGGCGUAAAUCAAGGCCCCAGGACUGGUACCAGUGUUUUUCCUUGGAGGGGGAAGUGCAGCGCCUGAUUGAUGAGAAGGGCUCAGCUUCAGUCCGAGGGACCCUGAUUGUUCAGCAGUGUUUCGAUUUAUGCGCCAGAAGUUGUGACGGCUCUGGAAUUGCUGCCCGUUCCACUGCCUCCGCCUGCCCUCCACAGGCGCAAGGCAAACAUCCGAGCUCUCCGAUUAGACAGCUGGAUGCCAGAGGGGGCAGCGGAAGAUUCUCAGCCAGGUGUGCAAGCUGGCAGAGAGCGAUGGAGAAUAAGGCUGAGCAAAGACAAAGAAGGACAAAGGAGAGAAAGUCUGUGUCUUGGUGGCUGUGA